UUUUUGAUGCCGCUAGCGGCUUGCCUAACACAUGCAAGUCGAACGGUAACAGCACUUCGGUGGCUGACGAGUGGCGCACGGGUGAGUAACGCGUAUGCAACCUACCUUUCACAGUGGGAUAGCCCAGAGAAAUUUGGAUUAAUACCGCAUAGUAUGCAGGACCAGCAUUGGAUCUGUAUUAAACAUUUAUGGGUGAGAGAUGGGCAUGCCGUUCUAUUAGUUAGUUGGAGUGGUAACGGCACCCCAAGACAGCGAUAGAUAGGGGUCCUGAGAGGGGGAUCCCCCACACUGGUACUGAGACACGGACCAGACUCCUACGGGAGGCAGCAGUGAGGAAUAUUGGACAAUGGGCGCAAGCCUGAUCCAGCCAUGCCGCGUGCAGGAAGACGGCCCUAUGGGUUGUAAACUGCUUUUAUACAGGAAGAAACACCCCGACGUGUCGGGGCUUGACGGUCUGUAGGAAUAAGGAUCGGCUAACUCCGUGCCAGCAGCCGCGGUAAUACGGAGGAUCCAAGCGUUAUCCGGAAUCAUUGGGUUUAAAGGGUCCCUAGGUGGCGAUUAGUCAAGGUGAAAUCCUGCAGCUCAACUGUAGAAUUGCUUUGAAACUGGUGUCUUGAUAUUGUGAAGUGGUAGAAUAUGUGGUGUAGCGGGGAAAUCAUAAUAUACAUAAAUCC
rnacentral:rRNA from 1 species